CUCCGCUGCAAAAUGAUAAGUAUUCGACGUUAUUCCCUAAACGCCCGCAAUUUCCUGCUGCCUAACAUUAAUAAGCAAGGUCUUUUCGCGCUAAAACCAGCGCUAUCAAAGUCUGUAAACUUGAUUCCGUGACUUCGACCAGUCUUGGAAAACAUACGCGUAAACAUAUCCUGAUGUAUCUAUGCUCUUUGGAUCUUCACGCAGCAAGGUUACCACGAUUGUGCCGAGAAAAAUCUCUAUUGUUGCGGAAACGAACCAAAGCUGCCUACUUGUUGAUUCUCGAGUGUCGUCGAAACGGAGGCAUCGUAUAUAAAGAAGCAAGAGGCACGUACCUUGAAACUUGUCCAAGACGGGGCCGUGAAACGAUUCCUCGGUUAUUCGAGUGUUUUUCGCGGAUCAAAGUGCUUUUUUAAUCUUGCACAUAGAACACUAUUUACAACACGAAGCUGUUUUAUUGUCCAGCGGGGUCAGAGACCCACCUGGCCGUUAGUCGUUGCCACUGUCAUCAUCUCUCUCCUCGUUUCUUCUCUUUCCACCGUUGAAAAGGAUAUUUGAUAACGUCUAGAAGAAUCACUUCUGCUGUUAUAUAUGAUUCAUAUGUAUAUGACCCGAAAAGAUUUCAUUAUAUGCAAGAUAAUGGGACCUUACGACAAAGUUGUCAUUGAGUAGAGCAUCGAUAGAGAAAUGUUAACGACCCCGGUGGUUUUGUACGGAAACCACAGGAAAUUUGAAACGAAAUUCACGAAAAAUGGACGAAUUUGUGAAGAAGCCACUUGCUCUCCGAUUUCGAUGAUUUUGAAAUAUGUAGCAAAGCUCGACAACUUUCUCAACAUCUUUUUCCGAUAUAUAUAUAAACCAAGGCCGACCUUAGUUUUCAACUUAUAUAGAAAAACGUCUCGCUGCUCGACCCUACUUCUCAAGCUGCACUGGGAUAUACAUAACAUAAAUACGUAUCCAGCGGGGCGCAUUAUAUUUGCACAGCCUGUGAAAGGAAAAUGCAAGGAAGCUGCAUAAAUCUGUGACGAUCGAGACUCACCAGCCAUCGGUGACGAAGGAAAGACGAAACACUCAAAACGUAAAUAUUUUAAUGAAACCUUUAUUAAGACUUUAUCGCGCCAAAGCCAAAUAGUGACUCCGGCAAUACAAACAGGUAAACGUUUGGCCCGAGAGUCCUCGAAUGCGAAGCACCACCGACCGACAUUUUGUCUUUUCCUUCAUUUUUGCCUAAAACGAGACGAGCAUGCAGCGACCUCUCGCGAUCGUGCAUCAUUAAAAUUACGAACAGUUCAACGCAAAUACGAAUCAAUCGGUGAGACUUGGAUCGAUACCGCACGAGAAGCUUCGUGGUUGAAGAUGCGUGACAAAUCGCUGAGAAAUGUUCUAUAGGUCAAAGAGAAAGAAACCAUUUGCUCCAUUGUGUGAUAAUAUCUGCGCGAAUGAAAUUUCUGAUGAUUCUAAUAAUUUUUAAAGAAGAAACGAAGGAAGACAGAGUCGAACAUAAAUCUUAACUUCGCUGUAAUCUUUGGAUCAUUUUCCAUUGGAUUCGAUCGCCUUUUCUACCGAGCAAAGGAUUUCUUAAGUCGAAGGAAAAUAUACAGAAAUUCAAAGCGUUUUCGCUUCUCGGAAAGAAACAGAAAUCGUGAUAUAAAAGUUUGAAGAUCACGGCAAUUUCGAUAUCGUAAAAAGGACAUUUACGUUUUAUCGUUUCGAUCCAUUUCACCAAGUAUAUAAUAUUUCUAUUUUACUAUAUUUUAAUCAUAAAAACACAGAAAUAUAUAAACGUAGGUAAAAAUGAUUCGACUGCGAAAUGGAUCAUCGAUUUCGAGGAAGGUAGACAAACCAACUGUCUCGUACGAACUUUCUUUUUUUGUUUAUCGAUAUCGCCACAAAGCAUCCUGCAUGCGACAGAAUUUACUAAAAGACAAUUACACCGGAUGUCGAUAUCAAUUGGCCAAUUUAUCUUAAAUUAUCUAAAUAGUCAUGAACGCCGGUUCGGUGUUGCACGUUGAGCGACCAACCACGGGUCAAUUCCUCUACCUUAAAUCACAAUGGCGACGACAAGUUUAUUCGUUUACUUUUCUCGUUAAUUGUAUCCUUAAGACUGAUCGUUACGUACGUCUGGAGGCGCGAGUACGCGAGUAACGCGCGUGCACGGACUUCGAGAUCCGUAUACGUGCCGCGUGCAUCGUUCGUCCAUCGUGUCUCUCUCAUUCACGCCGUUAAGUUAUGCGGAAGAUGUUCCCUCUGGCGAAUAUCUUUGUAAACUUAAUUAUAGAAUUAUAAAGAAGACUCUGCUUAACGAAAGGGUCAACACGAUCAUUACGACGUGGCUCGUGUCAAUUGUCGCGGAGCGUGAAAGAUUGCAAGAUUUCUCGAAUUAUAAAGCGCUUAAGAAAUGUACAAAGAAAGAUUAAAGCGUAAUAAUAUAUUAUUAAUUUCGUAUCUUGAAUAUCGUUACACGCAAUGUCGUUAUAUAUUCUAGGGGAAGUUGAAAAUCUAUAGAUAUUUUUCGUAUUACCAGAGACUAGGGUAAUCUUGACGGGAAAGAAACUAGGAAAAAUCGUUCGUUCAGAAUCGAUCUCCGAUUUAUUCCAUCGUGGAAGAUUGGGGUUAGGUCUAAUUACAUCGCGACGAUCAAACGUGUUUCGCUCAAAUUAAUUCGCGGCACGGAACACGUUAAGAAAUAAGUGUACGACUCGCGUGGCUGUGUGAUCCUGUCAUAAAAUUCCAUCGAAAUUUUUUAACCUUUCUUGAUCUUCCAACAAAGAGCGGAUAAAUUAAACGCUGAUUUUCAUGAUCGUUCGACCACAGGGAACAUCAUCGAACCUUCGCACGUACGUCGAGAGGCGCAUCGACGGCCGCAUUUCAAUUGUAUUAAUCUAAAGUUACGAACAGUCGACGAUCUUUGGGACGGUGUUAAGGAUCAGCGUCGCGACGCCUCUCGAUCGAACUGCGUGUCGCGCGAAAUCGUUCAAGUGUUGGCGAUGCACCGAAAGGGGUUGUUGCUUCGACAGUUUCGGCGUCUCGUGUUUUCUAGCGUCUUUAGAAUUCGUUUCGAAGUCGUUGUGAUCGCUCGUUUAAAAUACGAAUAUUUAUCUGUACAUAAAAUUCGCAAUUUUUCGUUGUCCAUUUAUUUAGGCCUACCGUUUUUCACAUUUUUCGAAUAUAGGCCUGCUCGCGUUUCCUCUCUAAAGCAGCAUUUUUGUUCACUUUACGUCAGGGAACAUUAUGGAAGCAACAGUGGCAGAAGAUAAAAGGACGAAAGAUAAAGUUAACGUAUGAUACGAACUAUUGAAAAACUAUGUUAUCCGAUACGAUUGCGGAGAUAAAGCUGGUUGAUAAUUCUUUAGCGGAGAAAUAUUGGAGGAACUUAGCAGAAGACAGAGAGGAUCGUAUCGAAAUUGCUGGAAAAAAGACUGCCGAAGAAUUAGAUAAAUAUAGGACUAAAGUAGCUAUAGAAAGGCAGAAAGUCGACGUAUGUAGAUAGCAUUGAAAUUAGCAGCAUUGCACUGAAAUUAGCAGCAUUGUAUCGACCAAACGGUAGACUCGAGCCUAUAAAGAAGAUAAAAAAUUGUGGCUGAUCUUUGACGAUAGGAAAUAUCCAGCGAGUUAAAGAUUUUAAACCAUAAAGACGUGGACUGAGUUUGUAUUAAAUACCAAGCAAAUAACAGUACUUUGGAAUUUCAAAUUUUGCAUUCACGAUGAUCAUAAAUAUCAUCAGACUGUCGUAAAGAACGCAGUAAUACGAUUAUGAAACACUGAUGCACUGAUUAUGAAACAUAAUUUAUCAAAGAAUUGUAUUAACAGCGGAAAAAUACUCAAGAAGAAUAACAUGUACUUGGAUUGUUUAAAAAAAAUAAUAAACAAUUUAUAUAUCGCAGAGGCGUUACUACGAAACAGGUGGUACGUCACGGAUGAUUGAAACGUGGAAAUAGGAACGAGAUAGAAAGGUUAAAUUUCAUACGCACGAAGUUAGCAAAUGAACAGGGACGUAGCUUCGAGUAUACGAGAUAAAACCAGAUAAAAACUAUCGUAUCGUCCAGGGGUGCUAUACACAACGAAAGAUGGUGGACUAAAGAUAUCACUCAAGCGAUCUAUGGUCUCGGUUUUAGUUCGUUUGGCCGUUGUUCACCGAAAUUAGUCAUUCAGAGAGACGGAUUUCUCACAUCGGAACAGACGAUCGUACUUUGCGAUCUAUCGACUCGAUAAUUGACGCGAAAAUGAUUCGCGUGGACACGCUGAUCGAGUAUCUGUCGAUACAACAGCAAAAACGGUCACGCGUUUAUAAACAUUCUAUUCGAACGAAACAUCUGUUUAAACAUCAAAGCGUAAAAAUAUCUCUUUUCCCAAUAAGUUACUUUUAUCUGGUUCUUCGAGUCGUCGGAAACAUCGACGAAUAUUCCUUACGUAUAAUUCGUAUACUCUGGAACACGAGAUCGCUUACGACCGUCUACGCAAGCAGAUGCACCGUGCACGCGCGUGGUUACAACGCGACUGCAUCUAUCAAGAGGAACGAUCGAUGGGAUAUAUAUAUAUAUAUUAUAUAUUAUAGGUACAACCGGAACACAGAGAGACAAUUGUUAAACAACGCGAUUAAUCCUCAACUGACGAUUUCUUGUUCCUUCGCUUUUUAUCCAUCUUACUGUUAAUCGUGCGAGCAAUUUAUUAAACAACCGAUAGAUAUAAUAUCAGCUUAGCACACCACGUUAUAAUAAUAAUAAUAAUAAUAAUAAAUGAUAUUCGUAUCGAAUAAUCGUACAAAAGAGAAAGAUCGUCUGUUGUAAAAAUUGAGCAUUAGUUGAAACAAAAAGAACGAUAAUAGAUCGUCAGUUAAGAAUCAAUCAAACCGGUCCACUCUCUGUCGGUUUGCCCAAAAAGAAAAGAAGAGACGAAAGAACGUUGGCAAGGAAACGCGACAGAGAGUAGAAGGCCAAAGAGAGAUGGUAAAUACAGAGUGAAAUAGAUAGAUUCGAAGAAAAAAUCUUUAGGCACACCCACACACAUACACAUACAUUUAUAUAUAAUAUAUAUAAUAUAUAUAUGCGUAGAGCGCAAGAGUCUUUUUUUUUUUUUUAAUUUAUAUUUCGUGAAGCAAAUCGUAAAUCCGAACGUUAGAUUUGCCGUGUGUACUAUCGAACGCAAACGCAGACAAAGGUGACGCGACGAUUCUCCUCUUUCUUCCUCGUGCUUUUCGUUUUAUUUUACUUCCUUUUAACUUCUUCUUUUCUUAUUUCGUUCGUCGUUCUAAUUCGAUUCGAUGUUCGUCGAUAAUUCGUACGAACAAGCUGUAUCUAAAGGAGCGUGUAUUUUUAAAGGAGCAUAGUCGCUCGUUCUUUUCUUUUUUUUCUUUUUUGCUCUUUUCAUCGUCGCGUGAUCGGUUUCUCUUCGUUUUUCCGUCGUUCCGUCGAUAAUCAAAAAAUAAGUUAUCCGAAUACUUUGUACUUGUCCAAGCCGACCGUGAUGGUAAUAGACGCUGAAGCUAUUGGCACGGUAUUCGAUUUACGUAAAAAAAGAAAUCCGAUCUCGUCGAUCACCUUGCUGCUGCACACGCCAUACAAUUCACACGGAUAGACGGACUUUCUUAAAAUUGCUCGCUUCUGCCGUACGAUUCGCGCGUUAUCAAUAAUUAGAAUAUGUAAUAAUUACGUCGUAAUUCAAUAUAGCAAAUAUAUUAUCACAUUUAGAUUGUAUUAAUGUUUAAGACCUUUUUUUUUUUAUCCGGACGUCCUUCGACAAAUUUAAACACCUGUCACGUUUUUAUUUGCGUUUCGUUUCCACGGAGAUCUCCUUCGCCUUAUUUACGUUUCGUUUCUGCGUUCCUUCGUCUUUUCCUUUCGUCCUCCUCUCGCUCUUCUCUCCCAAAUUUCCAACAUUAUAUUACACGUAUAAAUCGUAAUGGUCGAUGUAUGUUUCCUCUUUUUCUCGUAUAUCGCGAUUCUACGUCAACGACAAGUUUCUCGAAUCAUAAUCACAAUAUCGUUACGUGGGUGUCAAUUCGUCGAAGGUAUCCAGAAUCGAUCGAUCCGAUGGCUUUACAUGGAAAAUCGUCGAUUCUCACAAGGAUUGCACCGCGCUUGGAACCAUCGACCACGGAAUGUCCAAAUUUGAAUUCGAACAACGGCAACGCGUCCGCGCUGUAUCGUUCGAAAGUUUGUACAAUAAUCGAUUAUGCAGACUAAUUCGUAAAUUAUUGCCUUCUGAGUGCUCGACGACGACGAUGAUCGACGAAAGCUCGCGGACGAUCGUUCGUACGUAAAUCUAAGAAACAUUAAUAUAGAAUAUAUUAUCGUGUAGUUUAUAUAAGGUAUACGUUAAGACACUUACCAUCUACUGCAAAAAUUCAACAGUUAAAAGAUUGUAACAACUAGUUCGUAUAAUUGCGUACAAGACGGAGAUGCUCGCUCGGUAUCCCCGUUCCAUUUUCGUUUAUAGUUAAUUAUCCGACUAAUUGAUCGAUCGUCGCUCGAAUCGCUCGCAAGAAGGAACAACUCGAGAAGCGGGAUACACGAUCGAGCAGAUCCGACUGGUUCGCAGCCUCCGCUCUCUCGAUUCUUUCGUAUCCUCUUAAAACGCUACAUUCUCGUUCCAUCGUUCGUUCUCAUCUUUUGGCACGCGCUCCCUUCUUUUCCUCUUUUAUCCCUUCGCUAUUGGCACGACAUUUACGAACAAUGAGCUUGCUAGAGUUAAUUAAUUAGAAUAAAUCUCGGACGCACCUGAGAUCGAUCGUUCGGACGAUACGAUGUAUAAUAAUAAAAAGACCUUUUUGCUAUAUCGUACGUAUUAUGCACCGCCGUAUACUCAAAUACAGAAUGCCAAUGAAUCGCGUUACACGUUCGGCUCGAGGAGGCUCUACGUCCGUUUCGCGAAAGGCAAUCCGUUCACAAAGCGAUAAAGUGACAAAGUUAUUUCUCGUUUGUCUCUUCCUCUUUUGUUUUCUUCUUCUUCUUCUUCUUCUUCUUGUUCUCUCGUCGUUUCGAAAUGAUCUACGUCCGAGACGUUUCACAUGGACCAUGGGACCAAGUCGUUCUAUAACGAUGCUUAUGCGAAUAAAAGGAAAGGAUCGUAUCGGUUGCUCGUUCCCGCGACGUAUCUUAAAAGCUAUGAAAAUUAUUCUAAACGCGGCCUCGUAGAACGAUCAACAUCUAAAAUGGAAUAAUCAAUCGAGCGGUUAUCAAAAAUAGAAUUAUCAUUAUAAAUACAAUACGCAACGCACCGAUAUACCAACGAUCAACAAUCGUCGUUCCGCGAUAUCCGUUCCGAUCGGAAGCUGCUAUCGUGGCACGACCGUGUACCAAAAAUACUAUUAUCACGCGUAGGGCAGAGCAUCGCAUCCGCGUGCAUGCACGAAAGUUCGAAAAAAAAAAAGAAAAAAAAAACGAAAGAAA